rnacentral:rRNA from 1 species
UACGUAGGUGGCAAGCGUUGUCCGGAUUUACUGGGCGUAAAGGGCGCGUAGGCGGCCGCUUGCGUCGGAUGUGAAAGCCCGGGGCUCAACCCCGGAACGGCAUCCGAUACGGGGCGGCUGGAGACCGGGAGAGGAGGGUGGAAUAGCCAGUGUAGAGGUGAAAUUCGUAGAUAUUGGCUGGAACACCGGUGGCGAAAGCGGCUCUCUGGCCCGGUUCUGACGCUGAGGCGCGAAAGCGUGGGGAGCAAACAGG